GUGAGAGAGAGAACGUUCACCAGAGAGAACAUGGAGAGUGGAAAGGGCACAGGCUAGGAAAGAGAGAGUAGAUGAAAAGUCUUCACAACUGGUGAGUCAUGGAUCCUUGGUUCUAAGAAGCACAACAAUCAAGUAUAUUAAGAAAAAUAAAUACAUAACUGUAAUAAAGAAACCAAAGAACACCAAAGGCCAAAAGAUCCUACAAUCAACUAGAGCAAAAAGACAGAUGAUCUACAGAAGAACAACAGGUUGAUCAGACUCCACAACAACUGAAUCUAGAGAACACUGGAAUAUCUUCAAAUCAUGAUGAAAAACCAUCCUUGAUCUACAACAAAUCACCCAACUAAACUCCACAUCAUUCCUUUGUUCCGAGGAAAAUUUCGGAACAAAGACUCGAAGACCCUCAAUCAAAGAAUUACUAAACACUGUGCUUAAUCCAUUUAUGCUGGAGAUU
rnacentral:lncRNA from 10 species